rnacentral:rRNA from 1 species
UACGGGGGGAGCAAGCGUUGUUCGGAUUUACUGGGCGUAAAGAGCUUGUAGGCGGUUCAGCAAGUCGGGCGUGAAAACUCCGGGCUCAACCCGGAGACGCCACCCGAUACUGCUGUGACUAGAGUCUGGUAGGGGAUCGCGGAAUUCCAGGUGUAGCGGUGAAAUGCACAGAUAUCUGGAGGAACACCAGCAGCGAAGGCGGCGAUCUGGGCCAGUACUGACGCUGAGACGCGAAAGCGUGGGGAGCAAACAGG